GACGAACGCUGGCGGCGGGCUUAACACAUGCAAGUCGAACGGAAGAGCCCAGCUUGCGUGUGGUUCUCGAGGGGCGAACGUGAGAGUAACACGGGAGUAACCUGCCCUGUGCGUGGGGAUAACUGGAGGAAAGUGGGGCUAAUGCCGGAUAGGAGCGCCUGCUGGAUGGGGGUGUUUGGAAAGUUUGGGCGGAGGGGGAUGGACGCCCGGCUAAUCAGCUGGUGGGUGGGGUAGUGGCUUACCAAGCGUUUGACGGGUAGCCGGCCUGGGAGGGUGAACGGGGACAAUGGGACUGAGAGACGCACCAGUCUGCAACGGGAGGCAGCAGGGGGGAACCUGACCCAAUGGGCGGAAGUGUGUUGAAGAAGCCCUGGGUGCGGGAUGCAGGCCUUCGGGUUGUAAACCGCAUUAGCCUGUGACGAAGCGUGAGUGACGUUAAUGAGUAAAGAAGCACCGGCUAACUACGUG
rnacentral:rRNA from 1 species